CGCGCCUAACACAUGCAAGUCGAACGGAGUCAAGAGGAGCUUGCUUUUCUUGACUUAGUGGCGAACGGGUGAGUAACGCGUGAGUAACCUGCCCUGGAGUGGGGGACAACAGUUGGAAACGACUGCUAAUACCGCAUAAGCCCACGGAUCCGCAUGGAUCUGCGGGAAAAGGAUUUAUUCGCUUCAGGAUGGACUCGCGUCCAAUUAGCUAGUUGGUGAGGUAACGGCCCACCAAGGCGACGAUUGGUAGCCGGACUGAGAGGUUGACCGGCCACAUUGGGACUGAGACACGGCCCAGACUCCUACGGGAGGCAGCAGUGGGGGAUAUUGCACAAUGGGGGAAACCCUGAUGCAGCGACGCCGCGUGGAGGAAGAAGGUUUUCGGAUUGUAAACUCCUGUCGUUAGGGACGACAAUGACGGUACCUAACAAGAAAGCACCGGCUAACUACGUGCCAGCAGCCGCGGUAAAACGUAGGGUGCAAGCGUUGUCCGGAAUUACUGGGUGUAAAGGGAGCGCAGGCGGACCGGCAAGUUGGAAGUGAAAACUAUGGGCUCAACCCAUAAAUUGCUUUCAAAACUGCUGGCCUUGAGUAGUGCAGAGGUAGGUGGAAUUCCCGGUGUAGCGGUGGAAUGCGUAGAUAUCGGGAGGAACACCAGUGGCGAAGGCGACCUACUGGGCACCAACUGACGCUGAGGCUCGAAAGCAUGGGUAGCAAACAGGAUUAGAUACCCUGGUAGUCCAUGCCGUAAACGAUGAUUACUAGGUGUUGGAGGAUUGACCCCUUCAGUGCCGCAGUUAACACAAUAAGUAAUCCACCUGGGGAGUACGACCGCAAGGUUGAAACUCAAAGGAAUUGACGGGGGCCCGCACAAGCAGUGGAGUAUGUGGUUUAAUUCGAAGCAACGCGAAGAACCUUACCAGGUCUUGACAUCCGAUGCAUAGUGCAGAGAUGCAUGAAGUCCUUCGGGACAUCGAGACAGGUGGUGCAUGGUUGUCGUCAGCUCGUGUCGUGAGAUGUUGGGUUAAGUCCCGCAACGAGCGCAACCCUUAUUGCCAGUUACUACGUAAGAGGACUCUGGCGAGACUGCCGUUGACAAAACGGAGGAAGGUGGGGAUGACGUCAAAUCAUCAUGCCCUUUAUGACCUGGGCUACACACGUACUACAAUGGCGUUUAACAAAGAGAAGCAAGACCGCGAGGUGGAGCAAAACUCAAAAACAACGUCUCAGUUCAGAUUGCAGGCUGCAACUCGCCUGCAUGAAGUCGGAAUUGCUAGUAAUCGCGGAUCAGCAUGCCGCG
rnacentral:rRNA from 1 species